rnacentral:rRNA from 1 species
AGGAUUAACGCUGGCGGCGUGCCUAACACAUGCAAGUCGAACGAGGUAGCAAUACCUAGUGGCAGACGGGUGAGUAACGCGUGGUCAACCUACCGUUGAGUGGGGGAUAACUAGCCGAAAGGUUAGCUAAUACCGCAUACGUCUCCGAGGGGCAUCCCUUGGCGAUAAAAGGAGCAAUCCGCUCGAUGACGGGACCGCGUCCCAUUAGCUAGAUGGUGGGGUAACGGCCUACCAUGGCACCGAUGGGUAGCUGGUUUGAGAGAGCGACCAGCCACACUGGGACUGAGAAACGGCCCAGACUCCUACGGGAGGCAGCAGUGAGGAUUUUCCGCAAUGGGCGCAAGCCUGACGGAGCGACGCCGCGUGUGGGAAGAAGGCCUUCGGGUCGUAAACCACUGUCGAAGGGGACGAUAAUGACGGUACCCUUGGAGGAAGCCCCGGCUAACUACGCGCCAGCAGCCGC